UCCGGUUUGAAGCCCCGCCCCCUUUAUGUGGCCCCGCCCACCCAGAGGGGACAGGGGAGGAGCCACAGAGCGAGGCCUUUAUUGGUGACACGAGGUGUGAGUUGACCCCAGGUGACCCCAGGUGACGUGAGGUGACACACGGGGGCGUGACCCUGAGUUGACCCUGAGUGACCCCAAGUGGCACUGGGUGACAUAAGGUGACCUCCGAUGACCCCAAGUGACCCCAGGCACCCCUGGGUGGCACUGGGUGCCAUGAGGUGACCUGGGGUGACACUGGGACUGUCCGAAUCGACACCGGGUGACCCCAGGUGAUGACCCCCAGUGACCCCAGGUGCCAUGAGGUGACCUGGGGUGACACUGGGACUGCCCCUGAGUUGACCCCGGGUGACCCAAGGUGACCUCCGAUGGCCCCAGGUGACCCCAGGUGACCUCUGACGACCCCAAGCGACUCCAGGUGCCCCUGGGUGACCCCAGGUGACCCCAGGUGAGCUGGGAUGACCCCAGGUGACCCCAGGUGACCUCCGAUGACCCCAGGUGAGCUGGGAUGACCCCAGGUGACCCCAGUGUCACUUGCUGGGCGCCAGCCCGAUGCGGUCGUGGUCGCGAUCGAAGACGACGUAAUUCCGGACCAUGAAAACGUCCCCCAGGAUCCAUAUGGGCCCCGCGGGGGGGGGCACGUCCAGCUCCAUGAACCCACUGACACACGUCGGGGCGCCCGACUGAGACACCUGGGGGGGGGGAUGUGGGGACAGUGGUGGGGGGGCAUAUGGGGG
ensembl:lncRNA